GGGGGUGGGAGGGGGGGUUGAACUGCUGCAAGAUGUGGUUAUCCGACAUUGAUUUUUACAUAUAUCUAUAUUGGUCAAUCAAUUUUUCACAAAUUAAAGUUGAGGGGGUGGGGGGUAAGUGAAAAAACUAUGUGAAUUAGAAUUAAGUUGUUUAUCCUUCAUUGAACUUUUGAUGUCGUCCCUUAUGCAAUAAUACAUCUAUUAACUGCAUAAAGCG
rnacentral:lncRNA from 1 species